UCUAAGAUAAAUUAUGUAAGAUCCUUAAUUUACAAAUAAGAGAAUUCUAUUCUGUUUUAAUGCCUGUAAUGUUUGUUCAAAAUAAUAAUAAUUUUUUAUUACAAUGAUUUUAUAUAUUAGGUAGAUGCCCAUUCUGUUCCUAUUUUCAAAAGUUUAUUGUAUCUAUGCAAUGCCUUUGCUCAGGUUAAAGAAUGGAAUAAAAGUCUAGCAUCAAAUGUAUAGCUAACUAUUUUAAUUUGUGAUCAGAGCAACUGAUCUCCGUUCAAUUUUUAUCAUCAAAAGUUAGUUCUACCUUCGCAGGACCUCUGCUCUACAUACCUCCUCUCCGGUUAAAGAAUGGAAUAUAAGUCUCAUUUAUCAAGUUGGUGUACAAAUUUAGCUUGAUAAAUUAAGAAGUUGUAAACUUUAUUAUCACAAUUGCCAAGUUGACCAAAUGUUCUUCUGGUUUUAAAUGAAUUAUGUAUGAGUCUAGUAUCAUCUGGGUGUUCAAAGGUAGUUUACUGCUUGAAGAACUUAUCAAUGGACCAACUAAUUAUAAAACAGUUUUUAAUGAAAAUAAAAACGAAUUAUCAAAAGA
rnacentral:lncRNA from 1 species